rnacentral:rRNA from 1 species
AUUGAACGCUGGCGGCAGGCCUAACACAUGCAAGUCGAGCGGAGCGGCGGACGGGUGAGUAAUGCCUAGGAAUCUGCCUGGUAGUGGGGGAUAACGUCCGGAAACGGGCGCUAAUCACGCAUACUCUCAGAUGAGCCUAGGUCGGAUUAGCUAGGUGGUGGGGUAAAGGCCUACCAAGGAGACGAGCCGUAACGGGUCUGAGAGGAUGGUCAGUCACACUGGAACUGAGACACGGUCCAGGCUCCUACGGGAGGCUGCAGUGGGGAAUAUUGGACAAUGGGCGAAAGCCUGAUCCAGCCAUGCCGCGUGUGUUAAGAAGGUCUUCGGAUUGUAAAGCACUUUAAGUUGGGAGGCGUUACCAACAGAAUAAGCACCGGCUAACUUCGUGCCAGCAGCCGCGGUAAUUC